UAAUAUCUGUUUUAUCCUGUA
rnacentral:piRNA from 1 species